rnacentral:lncRNA from 1 species
UUUUUUUUUUUUUUUUGCAUCUAUGGAGAUAUUCAUGUGGUUUUUGACUUUUCUUUUUUAAUGUGGUGUAUGACUUUGAUUAAUUUGCAUAUGUUUAACCAUCCUUGUGAACUUGGGAUGAAUUGCACUUGGUCAUGGUGUAUGAUCUUUUUUAUAUGUUGUUGGAUUCAGUUGGCUAAAAUUUUGUUGAGAACUUUCGCAUCAAUAUUCAUCAAAGUUAUUGAUCUAUAGUUUUCUUUUUUGGUGGUAUCUUUGUCUGGUUUUGGUAUUAGGGUGAUGGUGGUGUCAGGGAAUAUCUUUGGGAGUGUUCCUCCUUCUUCUACCUUUUGGAAAUGUUUAAGGCAGAUGGCUAUGUUUGGUAGAAUUUGUCUGUGAUGUCAUCUGGUGCUGGACUUUUAUUAGUAAGGAGUGUUUUUAUGACAUAAUUCAAUUUCAAUUCUUGUGAUUUACCUGUUUACUUGAUCUAUUUCUUCUUUUUUUUUCUUUUUUCCUCCUUUUUUUAUUCAUAUGUAUAUAUUUUCUACUGUACAGCAUGGUGACCCAGUAACACUUACAUGUAUACAUUCUUUUUCCUCACAUUACAUUUACAUCAUAAAUGACUAGACAGAGUUUCCAAUACUAUACAGUAGGAUUCCAUUGCCAAACCAUCCCGAAGGGAACAUUCUUCAUCUGUUAAUCUAUUUUUUCUUGAUUUAGUUUUGGCAGGCUCUAAGUCUCUAGAAUGUUGUCCAUUUCUUCUUGGUUGUCAAAUUUGUUGAUAUACAAUUGUUCAUAGUAUUCUCUUUUUUUUUUUUGUAUUCCUGCAUUAUCCAUUGUGAUUUCUCCUUUUUCAUUUCUUAUUUUGUUAAUCUGGAUUUUUUUCUCCCUUCUUCUUGAUGAGACUGGCCAGAUGUUUGUCAAUUGUGUUUAACUUUUCAAAGAACCAGCUUUUGUUUUUAUUGUUUUUUUUCUACGGUUUUUUGAAUCCCUAUUGAUUUCCUCUCUGAUCUUUAUUAUUUCCUUCUUCCUGCUGAGCUUAGUUUUUUUUUCUUUUUCUAUCAUUUAGGUUGUGCAUUAAGUUGUCAAUUUGACAUUUGUCUUUUUUUUCCUGAGGAGGGCCUGUACUGGUGGAAUUUCCCUCUUAGCAAGUCUUUUGUGGCAUCCCAUAGAUUUUGACUGGUUGUGUCUUCAUUAUCAUUUGUCUCAAGAUGUUUUUUAAUUUCCCUUUCAAUUUCCUCAUUGACCCAUUGGGUUUUUAGUAGCAUGCUGUUUCUUCUCUAUGUAGUUAUCAUUUUCUCAUUUCUUUCCCUGUGGUUGAUUUCUAGUUUCAUGUCAUUAUUGUCAGAGAAGAUACUUGAAAUAAUUCUAUACUCUUAAAUUUGUUCAGGUUAGCUUUGUGCCCCAGUAGGUGAUCCAUCCUUGAGAAUGUCCCAUGUACACUUGAGAAGAAUGUAUAUUCUGAUUUUUUGGGGUGUAAUGUCCUGAAAACUUGAAUUAAGUCUAACUAUUCUAUUGUGUCAUUUAGGAUUUCUCUAAAUGCCUUAUUGAUUUUCUCUCUAGACAAUCACUCCUUUGAUGUGAGUGAGGUGUUAAAGUCUCCUACUGUUAUUCUAUUCCUAUCAAUUUCUCCUUUUUGUCUGCUAGCAUUCAUUGUAGGUAUCUGGGUGCUGCUAUAUUAGGGGCAUAUAUAUGAAUGAUUGUAAUAUCCACUUCUUGUAUGGAUCCUUUUACCAUUAAAUUGUGUCCUUUGUCUCUAUGGCCUACAUUUUAAAGUCUAUUUUGUCUGAUAUGAGCUUUGCAACUCCUGCUUUCCUGGCUUGUCCAUUAGCAUGAAACAUCUUUUCUCAUCAUCUCAUUUUCAAUCUAUAUAUGUCCUUUGCCCUAAAGUGGGUCUCUUGUAGACAGCAGAUUAUAGGUUUUUGCUUUUUUUAUCCAAUUUACCACUGUGUCUUUUGAUUAGAGCAUUCAGUCCAUUGACAUUUAAGGUGAUUCUUUAUAGAUAUGCAUUUAUUGCCAUUUUAAACCUUGUUUUCCAGUUGAUUCAAUGAUUUUCCUUUCUUCUUUUUUUGGUUGAUGAUUUCCAUUUAUUUUAUGCUUGACUACUUUUCCUUUUAGAUUGUUGUGAAUGUAAUCUUUGGUUUUGAUAGUGACUUCCCUGUUUUUUAAGAGUGAUAACCCCUUCCUGUAUCUGCUUGCUUUAGCCUGAUAGUCCUAUAGUCUCAAACACAUUGGUUAAACAAAGAAGAGCCUAGAUUUUCUUACUUUGCUUGCCCACAUUCAAUGAUCUUGAAGUCUUUUUUUAACAUCUUCAUGUUUGUCCUUUUCCAGUUCCUGUAUUUAUUAUCACUUUUGAAGUAGUUCCCCUCCCCCUUUUAGAUGUGUAUGCUGGCUUAUUUAAGUGAUUGCUUUCCAAUUGUCCUCCAUCCUAUUUCUUCCUAAUUCUUUUUUUAUUUGGAGAUGCCAUUUCAGUAUUUCUUUUAGAAUGAGUUUAGUAGUGCUGUACUGUUUUAGCUUUUGUUUGUUCGAGAAAUUCUUUAUUUUCCUUCCAUUUUAAAUGAUAUUCUUUCUGGAUAGAGUAUUCCAGGCUGCAAUUUUUUUCCUUUCAGGACUUUAAAUAUAUCUUGCCACUCUCUUCUGCCCUGUAAUGUUUCGGUAGAGAAAUCAGCUGAUUGGCUUAUGGCUGUUCCCUUAUAGCAAACACUUUGUGUUUCUCUUGCUGCCUUUAGAAUCCUCUCUUUAUCAUUAACUUUUGCCAUUUUUAUUAUAACAUGUCUUGGCGUGUGCCUAUUUGGGUUCAACCUGUGUGGGGCCCUCUGUGCUUCCUGUAUCUGGAUAUCAGUUUCCUUUCAAUUUGGGAAGUGUUCAGACAUAAUUUCUUCACUAUAUUUUCAAUCACCUUUUUCUUUUUCUUCUCCUUCUGGAAUUCCUAUUAUGCAUAGAUUGGCUCACUUUACAUUGUCCCAUAGGUCUCUUAUAUUGCUUUCAUGUUUGUUUGUGUUUGUUUGUUUUGUUCAUUUGGUUUUUCUGUCUUCUGUCCUGACUGGGUGUUUUCCAUUAUUCUAUCUUCCAAGUCACUAAUUCGUUCCUCUGCAUUAUUCAUUUGGCUCUUUACUGCCUUUAGCUCUGUUUGUGUCUCUGCAAAUGAAUUUUCUAAUUUUUCUAUGUUCCUCCAUAUAUUUUCUAUUUCCUUUCUAAAGGAAUCUGCUUUACUGUUCAUAUCUUCUCUUAAUUCCUUGAUAUUCAGCCUUAAUUCCUUCAAUAUUUUCAAUCUGAACUGUCUGUCAGACUGCAGAGGUCUGUUUUAUUGUUUGCAGCUUCAGGUGAAUUCUCCUGUUCUUUUAACUAGGAAAGGUUCUUGAGCUUCUUCAUCUUGCUUAUGGUUUUCAUUUUUUGUGAGUUUAGGGAAGACAAACUGUAGUCUUGAGGGCUACUUCUAUGCAAGAGCACUUCUUUUGUAUUUUUUUUGGGGGGGUUGUAAGUCUUUAUUUUUGGCAAGAGAGUUUGACUAUUUGCUAUUUCUUUCUUCAGUGUGAACAGGCUCUUAUCUCCAGGGUGCCGAGUGUCUUUCCAGGGAGAAGGAGGCAAUGGGCAGGUCUAGUAUUCAGUGCCUGUUUGCUGGGCCCUUAACAGCAGGAAGGACCUUCAGGAAGGUGGUGCAGGCUACUCUUAGUGGCAGGGCCCUAGGAAGUGGUAAUGAGCCUUAGGCAGUUUUACAAUGUGCCCAGUGCAUUUGGCAGUGACAGCAGCAAUGUGUUUGAGUUCACAGGGAUAUGAGAGCAACAAAAGAUAGUGUUUUAUUUUCAAAGCCCUCUUCUUAGGUGAUUGGAGAAAAAAGUGGUGCCUGUUCAGGGACCCCUAGUAGUCACAAGCCACUCCCACCUCUGGAGUCAGUGAUAUCACUGGUGGUUUUCCCCUGCCACCUGCAGACCACACAAGAAACACCUCAUCUCACUUAGCCCCCUCUGGAGGUGAUGUACAUGCUACUCCUAGUUACAGGCUCCUGGGAAGUAAUAGAGAUUAAGUCUGUUAGCACUGCCUGGAGCUUUUGGCAGUGGAAGAGGUGGAACCAGUAUGCUCCCAUUGGUGCAAGAGCAACAACAGGUGUUAUUUGGUCACAGUGCCCUCUUCUGUGGUGCUCCUGAGGUGAUUGGAGCUACAGGUGACUGGAGCUGCAAGUGUUGCCUCUUCAUGGACUCUUCAUGGUGCCAGGUCAUGCCCACCUCUGGAGUCAGAGAUAACUGCAGCGGCUUGCCCCUGGCACCUGUAUACCAUGCAAGAAACUCCUCAUCCUGCUUAGCCCUCACAUGAGGUUCUGCUAAGACUACUCAAAGCUGUAGGUUCCUGAAAAGGGACAGUAAUCAGGCCUCUGGGCACUGCCCAGAGUUUUGGCAGUGGCACCAGAAGGGCAUGUAUACUCCCAGGGGAUCAAGAGGAACAACAUCUGGUGUUUUGUCACAGUUACUGCUUCUGUGGUGCCCUCUGAGGUGCUUGGGGCUACAAGUGGUUCUCGUUCUGGGCUCCCCAGUGUCAGUGGCCCAUACACACCUCUGGAUUCAGAGAUAACUGUGGUGUUUUUCCCCUGAUUUCCCAGAGUGUGUGUUCAUUUUCUCUUUCACAGCUUCCUCUCAGGAAUGCUAGUCUUGUCCUGUUACUUUUUCCCCCUCUCUCUUUUUUCCUUUUGUUCUACCCAGUUAUAUCAAGAGUUUAUUGCUCAUUUUAGAGGUUUAAGUUCUUCUACAAGAAUUCAGAAGAUAUUCUGUGUGAGUCAUUUUACAUGUAGAUGUGUUUUUUUGAUGUGUCUGUGGGAGAAGAUGAGUGUGACAUCUUACUCCUCCAUCAUCUUGAUCUGACUCCCCAGUGCUUCUUAAUUUUUAAAUAGGGAUAAUUUAUCUAAGCUGAAAGAGCUUUGGUUAGCAUCAAGUGAAAAAAAAUCAUGCACACAAGUAUCAAAUCUUAUAAACAUUGAAUAAAUACUAGUUUUCAUCUUCCUUCAGUACUUGCUAAGCACUCAUUUUAUUCCAGACAUUGUGCUCAAAACAAAGAUAUACUAUUGAGUUAAACAGGUGAGUCAUCUUUCCUUCUUGAGCUUAUAGAAUAAUAGGUGAGUAAUCAUGAUCAUAAAUAUUAACUAAGACAAGUGUUGUAUUAGAAGAUUAUAGGGAACAUAGGAGACAAAAUUUAAACAUAUUUAAUUUGCAGGUUCAGAGAGGUCUACCCUGGGAAAGUGUUACUGGAAGCCAGAUCCGAAGUAGAUGUAGUCAUCAUUUGGAUGAAUAAGGAUACAUGAAACAAUCUCUCUGGCAAUGAGCAGAGGUAGAGAAGGAAAAGGAAAUCAUGAGAGAAUUGGGAGAAUAAACUAAGGUCAGUGAUGCUGGAACAUAUAUAAAAGUUAGAAGUGAUGAAAUAAGGCUGAAGAAGUAGGCAUGGGCCAGACCUUGUCGAACAGUUUCUCAGCCAUUCAUUAUGACUUGAUUUUGGUCAAUCAUUGAAUAAUUUCUGAACUGUCUCAUACAAGAAAUCCUACAUUCAACAACAAUAAAGGACUUUUUCUCUUUGGAAUGUUUCAUUCUCUUUCUAGCUCCUGUUUUCCUAGGUAGUAUCCUUCACUUAAAAUUGCUUUGGUCGCACCCUUUUCUUCCCCAGCUUGAUUGAUCUAUUAUUGACAUUACAUUUGGCAUACAAUGGGAACUCCUCUUACUUGCCUUCAAAACUCAAGUGCCUCCCCUGGUGCCCCAGUCUCUUUUAAACACUAAAAUUUCCCCACAAGAUUCAUCAUAUUUUAGUUGAAGAUUACAUCUCAUUGCCCUGAAUUUAUUAACUCAAUUCUCUGCUGGACCAUAAGUUCCUUGAGGGAAGACUGUGUUUCAUAUAACUUGUUUUCCCACAAUACCUG